rnacentral:rRNA from 1 species
GAUGAACGCUGGCGGCGUGCCUAACACAUGCAAGUCGAGCGAACGGACGAGACGUUUGUUUCUUUCUCGUUAGCGGCGCGCGGGUGUGCAACACGUGUAUCCUCCACCUAUAUGUCUGGUAACACUACGGGAAACCGUCGCAUAUACCGUAGAAUCUCUUGCACCGUAUGGUUCAUUAGAAAAAUACGGUCUUGCUGUCACUUCUCGCUGCAUCCGCGCUGCUUUAGCUAGUUGGUAGGGUAACGGCUUUUCAAGGGGACGAUGCGUAGCCGAAUUGAGAGGGUGAUCGGCGACACGGGAAGUGAGACACGGACCAGAGUCCUGCGGGAGGCAGCAGUAGGGAAUCUUCCGCAAUGGGCGGGAACCUGACGGAACAAGGCCGCGUGAGUGAUGAAAGUCUUCGGAUCGUAAAGCACUGUUUUUGGGUGAGAACAUAUGUGUAAGGAGCUGUACACAUCUUGACGGUAACUGGUCAGAAAGCCACGGCUAACUACGUG